UACGGGGGGGGUAAGCGUUGUUCGGAAUUACUGGGCGUAAAGGGCUCGUAGGCGGCCAACUAAGUCGGACGUGAAAUCCCUCAGCUUAACUGGGGAACUGCGUCCGAUACUGGAUGGCUUGGAUUUGGGAGAGGGAUGCGGAAUUCCAGGUGUAGUGGUGGAAUGCGUAGAUAUCGGGAGGAACACCAGUGGCGAAGGCGGUUGCCUGGAGCUUUGCUGACGCUGAGGCGCGAAAGCGUGGGGAGCGAUCCGG
rnacentral:rRNA from 1 species